rnacentral:rRNA from 1 species
UACGAAGGGGGCUAGCGUUGUCCGGAAUUAUUGGGCGUAAAGAGCUCGUAGGCGGUUUGUCGCGUCUGCUGUGAAAACGCGAGGCUCAACCUCGCGCCUGCAGUGGGUACGGGCAGACUAGAGUGCGGUAGGGGAGAUUGGAAUUCCUGGUGUAGCGGUGGAAUGCGCAGAUAUCAGGAGGAACACCGAUGGCGAAGGCAGAUCUCUGGGCCGUAACUGACGCUGAGGAGCGAAAGCAUGGGGAGCGAACAGG